rnacentral:rRNA from 1 species
GACGAACGCUGGCGGCGUGCUUAACACAUGCAAGUCGAGCGGUAAGGCCCUUUCGGGGGUACACGAGCGGCGAACGGGUGAGUAACACGUGGGUGACCUGCCCUCAGCUCUGGGAUAAGCCUGGGAAACCGGGUCUAAUACUGGAUAUGACUCCAUGACGCAUGUUGUGGGGUGGAAAGCCUUGUGCGGCUGAGGAUGGGCCCGCGGCCUAUCAGCUUGUUGGUGGGGCGAUGGCCUACCAAGGCGACGACGGGUAGCCGGCCUGAGAGGCGACCGGCCACACUGGGACUGAGACACGGCCCAGACUCCUACGGGAGGCAGCAGUGGGGAAUCUUGCGCAAUGGGCGAAAGCCUGACGCAGCGACGCCGCGUGAGGGAUGA